AACGAACGCUGGCGGCAUGCCUAACACAUGCAAGUCGAACGCUUGUUGGGGCUUCGGCCUCAACAGGAGUGGCGCACGGGUGAGUAGCGCGUGGGAACCUGCCCUGUUGUGGGGAUAACCGAGGAAACCUCGGCUAAUACCGCAUAAGCCGGAUGUCUUGAGAGAGGCAUUUGGAAAGAUUUAUCGCGACAGGAGGGCCCGCGUCGGAUUAGCUUGUUGGUGGGGUAACGGCCACCAAGGCGAUGAUCCGUAGCUGGUCUGAGAGGAUGAUCAGCCACACUGGGACUGAGACACGGCCCAGACUCCUACGGGAGCAGCAGUGGGGAAUAUUGGACAAUGGGCNCAAGCCUGAUCCAGCAA
rnacentral:rRNA from 1 species